CCCAGAGCUUAUCCCAGCUACAAACAAGUGAAGGUGAGUUGAUCCCUGGGUGUGUCGCCAGUUCAUCACAGGUUUGAUAUACACAGAUGAACAAUCAUUCACUCUCACAUUGAUUUACAUCAACCACAUAACCUGUUAAAGUGCAUGUCUGGACAGUGGGAGGAAGCUGGAGUAUCUGGACAGAACCCACACAUGGAGAACAUACAAACCCCACACAAUGGCCAACACCAGCCAGCACCACUGGACCACCAUUCAACCCCUAUUAGACAAAUGGAGGCAGGAAGAGUGUGAUCUUUUCAAAGGCUGCCUGCAACAACCUGAUGGAUGCACAAAUUAACACACAGAGGAGAGAAGUCGCAAUCCAAAGCCUCCAAUGUUAUAAUUACAGCCUUUUUCUUCCUCCUUGACAAACAUAAAGGGGGGAUUUUUCUCUCUCCAGCUCACAUCCUCUCUCUCCUUCUCUUCUCCACCUCUCACUGCACAGCUUGGCGAGCUGGCAUUAAUUGCUUCGAAAAGCUGUGGAAGCACAACAAGUGCUUCUCAUCCUGGUAUAAUUGUGUCUGUAGGAGUUGGAGGGCUUGAGAAGAAAGAGGGCUUUGCUGCUUACAGGAAGGGCUUUGUAGUGUGUCUGGGGAGAUGAGGAGACUGGAAAGUACAUGGUACAAUGGCACACUCUGGUGGGCACACAGUAAAACAGAAGAAAUCAUCACCACAUCUUUCAGUGAAUAAAGGAAACAGGUGAUUCUGUGUAAUUCAACCUCAUGUUUCACUUACUGUCAGCUGCUUCAGUGGUGGCUGAACAAUUGAGACAUUUAAUAAAACUCACAGGAGUGUUAUUAGAAAAAAAAUUACAUAAAUGUUAACAGUGCUUCUUGUGCAAAAAUGGUUCUGAUAUCUGCAAUCCUGUGAAGGUAUUUCACUCUGGUCCAUCAUUCCAUAUCUGCAACUGUAAAACUUAUAACACAUUUUGAGUUGAAAGGCUGAUCUCUAUACAUCUUAGUCCUCCUCGAAGAUGGUUUCAAGAUUUUUUUGUUAAAAGGAUUCUUCACCAUUGGAAGAAAGGGUACUUCUGGACAUUUUUGACAAUUUCUUGGAAAGGAAAGCAGCUAUUGCUUUGAAAAAAAAAAAAAAAGAAUAAAUGACAUGUCACAUGACAAUAUAUUAACAAAGUCAAUGUCUUGCUGAUCUAGGUGACCAUUUUCUAAAUCCACCAUUGUUCCUGACCUCAGUUUUGAACAUUGCAACUUGAGAUUUGUGAAAAAUAAAACAUCCAUAACAUGUACAGACAAAACUAAGUUUCUUUUAGUGUAUUCACAACACAGCUGAUGUAUAUAGUGUUGUGAGUAUAAUCUAAGGGGAUGAGGGUCUGCACUCUCUGAUGGUCUUGUUAUACAUCCUACAGUUUUAACGUGAAAUCUGCAGUCAAUAGUUUCAGUUUCUUUUCGUUAAAAUCUGUCAAAAACUGUUGAAAAUGGUAUGCUAAAUGACCUUGUCAGAUUUUGUCAGAUUUCCUUUUUUUAUCUAAUCAUUAAUUCAAAUGGAAACUUGAAAUAAUCACCACAAUUGACCCUGUGUGUCACCAAGUAAUCAACAACCUUUUACUCCAAGGGAACUAUUACCUAAACCUGUCACAUAAAUCUAUUUAAGUGUAAAACAGCAUAGUAUGUGAAUAGUAACUUAUCAAAGCAUAUCAUAAAUGUCUUUCGAUGUAAGAACCUAGUUAUAUUCCAGUUUGCAGUCCUAAUAUAAUAGCAUGAUAGAAUAAUCUGUCUAGUCUGCCAAAUGGCCACCUAUAAUCUUCCCAUCAUUGUCAUAAAAUUAUACAUUAUUGUACAGUAUGAAUAGACCUUUUCAUCACUGUUGGAAUAUUUUCUGAGGCUCAUAUUCUUGCCUGUUUGACUGAUAUAACAAUCAUACAGUAGGUAAGAUGGAAAAUUCCAGUUUUGAUGUUGUGCACUUACAUUUUUUAUGUAUAGUAUCAUAGUUCAGAAAAGCAACACCAUUUGAUGUGCACUUCUUCAGGGCAACUUUAUGUGCUUUUCAACACACCCACCUGGUACCAAUAAGAUCUUUUGUAACAAAUCCUUACGCAAAGCAAGUUUGGGAAUGCAGUUGCUGCUAUAAAUAUACUAGUUUAUACAGACACACAUGCAAAUAGAAAAAAUAAGGGCCUGCUUUAUUGUGCAGGUCAGUUUAUAUUUUUCUAUUUAUUGUGUUGUAUUGAAGUGUGACAGUUUCUGAAGAAAAAGACAAAAGAGAGGUUUGCGCUAAACAUGGGUAAUUUUUAUUUAGCUAGUGAGUUACCUAGAGGAGAAAACUGUCACAUCCUUGCAGGUGAUGUCUUGCCGUUUUGGGGGAAUCCCAGCAAAACCACACUCGAAAAGGUGUGAGGGGAUUCUCCCAAAAGUGCUAGAGCUGUUGAGGACAGUCUGAUUGAGCCUGAGGUACGGUCAAGUACAUCAACAUCAGAGCAAAGACAGUCACCCAAAGGGCCCAAGGAGGCCACCGCUAAAUCUACCAGAGCAGCAGGUUUCUCCUCAGACAAAUGCACUUCAGAAUGACAGAAUCACAAGAGAGAAAAAACAAAGAUGUGCACUGACCAGCACUUGCCAGCCUGCUGCAUAACUGUAAUCUUUUGGUACACGGAAACAGAUGCAGAAAAGAAGGAAACAGGUAGAUAGAGGAUACAUCCUAUGAUUGGCAUGAUUGUGGCUGUUUCCCAAUUAAUUUGUCCCUCCUGUCAAUCAUCCACAGCCUCUGUCUGAGGAGGAUCAGACAGCUGAAUACAGAUUCAAGUACAAGAUUAAUUUAUACAUAUCAUCUUUAAUUCUCUUCAGGAGCUGAUGACACUCACCAAUAUCCCAAACAUUUGAGGCAUUAAAAAAAUGACAAGUAAGCCUGGUGAAAUCUUCUGACUACGCUGGUUAGUCAGUUAGUUGCUCACAAACAAAAUGAAAGAAGAACACAGAGUUAGAGAGUUAAGGGUAUCGGUAGAGGCUGUUUAGAAGGACUGAAAGUGCUUUAAAGACAGAGUUUUCAAGGUGGGUUACGUUCUUUUUCUCGUGAGACAGGAACACAGGGUUUGAUGCACCAGUCAACGGAUACAGAUGAGUCCCUCUAUUGUCAUGUUCAAGUGUUCAGAUACAUUGUCUUCUUCAGCGGAAAGAUUGUGAGAGCCUUUCCUCCUUGUGGUUAGGCAAAUUUUAUUUAAGGUCCUACAUCAUUAGUGUUGCAGUUCUAGCAGACAGCUUGCUUGAAGGUUACUGUUUAUUUCUAUUGCGCUCCUGGCAAGAGAAGGGGAAAAAAAAGACACAUAAUCAGUGGAUGGUAUCAGAACAAGAGCAACAAGGGACGAAAACAAACACAAACAGGAGCUUAAAGGGCAAAGCCGGAACUGCUCUCAUCGUAUUCAUUCACGGCUUGGAAUAUGUGAUUCUAUGGUGUCAACAGAAACACACCUUCAUCCAAAAAGGGGUUUGGAGCAACUCAGGAACUCAUCAAUUCAGAAACCCCAAACUAAACAAAACCUGACUGUUGUGCUUUGAAUCCUUAAGUAUCUAAUGUGGUGAGUGACUCCUGAUUAUAUAGGUAUGUGAUACUGUGAUACCACAAUCAUUCUUAAAAAGAUAAAUUACAAUAAUUUCAGUUCUUAAAAGGGAACAUUUCUAUUUUUGGUACAGUCAUGUGUGCUUUUAUCAGCGGUACUAAUCAAUGCAAACAGUAAAAGCAACUCUCAAUAAAGGUGUCUUCAUUUAGACUGUGGAUCAUGCAUUUAAUUGUGGAGAAACCACUAAAAUAAAUAAUUUCCAUUUUCAAUACUCAAGAAAGUGUUGGUGUUUUCAAACUACAAAUAUAAAUUCUUCAUGUUGUACUCCAUUCUAUUUUUUUAUUUAUUUUUUUUUGUAUGUACCAUUGUAAAUAAUAAUGCUGCACAGUUUGGUGUCCUAUUCCCAUGGAUUCCUAUUAUAUGGUUUCAGUGACAUUUGAAAUGCAAAUGAUAAAAAAAAAAAAAUCAAUGUUUGGUUCAUAUUGCAAAAUUAAGGUAUUAUUUUUAAACAUUUUAUUCCAUUCAUAGUGGUGCCAUUUAACUUGUCUUAGUUCAGAGCUUAAACAUCAUAAACAAUCCAGUUAAGAUAAACAUGAGAAUGGAAGUGUUUAACUCUUGUCAGGCCCCCACCAAUCAGAACCACAAAUCUAUAGGUCUUACGUUAA